rnacentral:lncRNA from 1 species
UCUGGUCCAUAACCUACUUAACCACAACAGCUUUCUGUACCAUCCAAAACAACAACCACAAUCAUGUCAUCCACAUAGCAACCUUCCCCCCUCACUAAACCAUAAUCUAACCACACGAAAUAAUCACAUUAUUCCCAAACCAUGACAAACACAACCACGAGUACAUCAUCCACACCUCCCGUUAAUUUUUCCUUAGCCAUAACCUCUUUGACCACGAACUUACUGUCCUCCACCCCUCCACUUCUAGCCAGAACAAAUAUGCGACGACCAC